rnacentral:rRNA from 1 species
GACGAACGCUGGCGGCGUGCUUAACACAUGCAAGUCGAACGGAAAGGCCUGCUUUCCCUUGUGGAUUGCGGGUACUCGAGUGGCGAACGGGUGAGUAACACGUGAGUGAUCCGCCCCCAACUUGGGUAUAAGCCUGGGAAACUGGGUCUAAUUCCCGAUAGGACUGCAGGGUGGUGCCUGUGGUGGAAAACGAUUUUCUAGUGGUUGGGGAUGAGCUCGCGGCCUAUCAGCUUGUUGGUGGGGUAAUGGCCUACCAAGGCGGGGACGGGUAGCCGGCCUGGGAGGGGGGACGGCCACAUUGGGACUGAGAUACGGGCCAGACUCCUACGGGAGGCAGCAGUGGGGAAGAUUGCACAAUGGGCGGAAGCCUGAUGCAGCGACGCCGCGUGGGGGAUGACGGCCUUCGGGUUGUAAACUCCUUUCGACCGCGAGGAAGCCACCUGGUUGGAAGGGUGGUGACGGUAGUGGUAGAAGAAGCACCGGCUAACUACGUG